rnacentral:rRNA from 1 species
AACGAACGCUGGCGGCAGGCCUAAAACAUGCAAGUCGAACGCCCCGCAAGGGGAGUGGCGCACGGGUGAGUAACGCGUGGGAACGUGCCCCUUAGUACGGGACAACGUCGGGAAACUGACGCUAAUACCGUAUAAUAUCUCCGGAUCAAAGAUUUAUCGCUGAGGGAGCGGCCCGCGUCUGAUUAGCUAGUUGGUGAGGUAAAGGCUCACCAAGGCUACGAUCAGUAGCAGGUCUGAGAGGAUGAUCUGCCACACUGGGACUGAGACACGGCCCAGACUCCUACGGGAGGCAGCAGUUAGGAAUAUUGGACAAUGGGGGAAACCCUGAUCCAGCCAUGCCGCGUGUGUGAUGAAGGCCCUAGGGUUGUAAAGCACUUUCGUUGGGGAUGAUAAUGACCGUACCCAAAGAAGAAGCCACGGCUAAAUUCGUGCCAGCCGCCGCAGUAA